rnacentral:rRNA from 1 species
UUUGGUUAACUCCCGCAACGAGCGCAACCCUCGCCCUUAGUUGCCAGCAUUUAGUUGGGCACUCUAAGGGGACUGCCGGUGAUAAGCCGAGAGGAAGGUGGGGAUGACGUCAAGUCCUCAUGGCCCUUACGGGCUGGGCUACACACGUGCUACAAUGGUGGUGACAGUGGGCAGCGAGACGGCGACGUCGAGCUAAUCUCCAAAAACCAUCUCAGUUCGGAUUGGACUCUGCAACUCGAGUGCAUGAAGUUGGAAUCGCUAGUAAUCGCGGAUCAGCAUGCCGCGGUGAAUACGUUCCCGGGCCUUGUACACACCGCCCGUCACACCAUGGGAGUUGGCUUUACCCGAAGGUGGUGCGCUAACCUGGCAACAGGAGGCAGCCAACCACGGUAGGGUCAGCGACUGGGGUGAAGUCGU